rnacentral:rRNA from 1 species
GACGGAGGAUGCAAGCGUUAUCCGGAAUGAUUGGGCGUAAAGCGUCCGCAGGUGGCAGUUCAAGUCUGCUGUCAAAGACCGGGGCUUAACUUCGGAAAGGCAGUGGAAACUGAACAGCUAGAGUAUGGUAGGGGCAGAGGGAAUUCCUGGUGUAGCGGUGAAAUGCGUAGAGAUCAGGAAGAACAUCGGUGGCGAAGGCGGCCUGCUGGGCAGUGGCUGACGCUGAGACACGAAAGCCAGGGGAGCAAACGGG